AGACUAUGACUCCAGGACGGCUCUGCACGUGGCAGCAGCAGAAGGACAUGUGGAGGUGGUGGGUUUCCUACUUGAUGCUUGUAAAGUGAACCCUGUCCCCAGAGACAGAUGGGGAAACACUCCGCUGGAUGAAGCGAUUCACUUCGGCCACAAAGCAGUGAUCGAAUUACUGCAGCAGUUUCAGGAUAAGCACAGUACGCCCCCCUGUGGUCGUGACCCGCAUCGUGAAGAGAAGAGCCUGGACAGCCUCUACUAGAGCAAUGCACACGUCCUUUAUAUUUAUAUCAAGCAACAGUAGUUUUAUUCACACCCAGCAGCAGCGAUGGGACUGAGGUUUGAUCAAACGUCUGUGAUUUCACCGCACAAAAUGAACGUCUACAAUUUGAGUUGAAAGUGCAUUUAAGAAGUUUAGAUUAUUUUUAUUUUAAGCUUUUAUUGUGUAGAUUUAUGUAAGAUAUUACUGCAUAGUUUCUGUAUUUUUAUGUAUUUAUUUCGUAGUAUAGUUCACACUGGUCCCUGGUUUAUCUCGAGGGUCACGAUCUAAAAAUAACCAGCGAAAAUUGUGAAGUAUCAGCUUUAUUUUUACAUUAUUCUCUAUGUUUUUGUCUGUAAAACCCCUCACCACACACUUUAUACACUUUUC